rnacentral:rRNA from 1 species
CUACGUAGGGCACAAGCGUUAUCCGGAUUAUUGGGCGUAAAGAGCUCGUAGGCGGCUGGUAAGUCGGGUGUGAAAACUCUGGGCUCAACCCAGAGAGGCCACCCGAUACUGCUGUGACUAGAGUGCGGUAGGGGAGCGGGGAAUUCCUGGUGUAGCGGUGAAAUGCGCAGAUAUCAGGAAGAACACCAAUGGCGAAAGCAGCUCUCUGGGACGGUACUGACGCUGAGACGCGAAAGCGUGGGGAGCGAACAGG